UACGAAGGGGGCCAGCGUUGCUCGGAAUCACUGGGCGUAAAGCGCACGUAGGCGGAUUGCUAAGUCAGGGGUGAAAUCCUGGAGCUCAACUCCAGAACUGCCUUUGAUACUGGUGAUCUUGAGUCCUGGAGAGGAAGGUGGAAUGCUUGGUGUAGAGGUGAAAUUCGUAGAUAUCAAGCGGAACACCGGUGGCGAAGGCGGCCUUCUGGACAGUGACUGACGCUGAGACGCGAAAGCGUGGGGAGCAAACAGG
rnacentral:rRNA from 1 species